CGAGGGCAGCAGGCCGGAGACGAAGAGGCGCUGGCAGUGGCCCGGAGGUUCCCAGGCGGCGGGCGCCAGGCGCAGGAGGCGGCGGGCGACGCGCUGCUCCGCGGCGGUCAGCGACACAAUCGUUAGGGGUUGGAAGGCACCUCUGGAGAUCAUCUCGACCUACCCUCCUGCCAAGACAGGGUCACCUGGAUCAGGUAACACAGGAAGGCGUCCAGCAUAUUUGAGCAAUUGGUCUUAAAGCAAGACAGUACAAAUUCAAUCGAAGGACCAUUUGGGAAACUUAUUUGAGCUCAGGAUCACUGUGAUGAGAUGGUGCCUGUGGGUACAAAUCUUCAAACUCUAUGCUGUGCCUGUUGCACAGAUGUGAUAGUCCACAUAGCCAGAAGCGAUUACUCAAGUUGUGACUAUGUUUGGUGUGCAAAUAGCUGGAUCAAGCACCCACCAACCCUGCAAGGUUUGUGACGUGGAUCCAGAGAAAGCUGUGGUGGCAGUGAACUUGUCAGCACUGGAAAAGCUGAGCUUUAUGAGGAGAAUGUGAAGAAAUCAAUGUUAGGCACCCAGUGCAUGCUGGUGUCAGCAACUUAUACCAUUAUAAACCUUAUAUUUCUCUUAGGCUGCAGGUUACCUGCCAUUUGGAAGGUUACAGUUUUGGGCUUGAGUGGCUAGGUAUGACAACUACUAAGAUAUAAAAAUGCAUUGGUGAAGUCUUACAUGUAUCUUGCAAGGCUGAGUUCUGUUUUCACACACAGGUAAUCAGAUAUAAUAAGCAAUCAUCCGGUUCAAAACUCAUACUUCAUCACAAAUACACUUGUCACAUUACAAAAUAAUGAAUGAAUGAUACAGAAUGCUCUCGCCUCAUCUUGAAUCUUGUUCAAGAUUUUAUUCUUUAGGAUUUUCAAAGUUUUAAAAGAUGUUGGAGUACUGGUAGAAAAGCUCCAUGAAUUUCAUGUCAUUCAGAAAUGAAUGGUAAUUCAUGUGUUUCUUCUACCCUGCAUGUUAUAUACUGUUUGCCGUGAGCUGCUUACCCAGCACUUCAGUGACAUUUAGUGAUAUAUGGUACUUAUAUGAUAUAUAAAAGAUGCUGCUUUGUGCUUUACCUGUUAGAAAAUUAUCCAUAUGCAUUCAAGAUAACUUUGCCUCCAGAUUAUAAAUAAUUUGAAGCAUAUGUGACACUUAGACCACAUCCUAUUUCUUUCUGUACAAUCAGCAUUUUCUGAGUAGAUUAUGACAACAACUUUUCAUCUUGUACAUUAAUCAUUCCAACAUGUUUCAUUAACAGAUAUGUGAUUAUAGAUUUAGGAACAUACCAUACAUAGAUCCUUCUAAAAGUAGGAGCUAGUGCAUAUUUCUAUCUUUAGAUAACUAGUCAUAUAAAAAACAGAAAAGGUGUUUAAAAAUUCUUUAGCAUAGUUUUGGCAAUCUGGUUUUAAUGUGAGAUAAUUUUUUUAAAAGAGUCUCAGAGACUCAGGUUCUCAUCUGUGAAAUUUUGCAAGUUCUGCUCACAGUAAACAAACAUUGAUAAAUUCACUUGCAACAACUUCCAUCCUGUUUUUCUUUUCAACAAAGUUUAUCAGAAGAGUGAAAAACUUGAGUAUGAAUGUCUUUGAGAUUCAAUAAAUACACUAAAUAGUAUUAGUCUUUUAAACAGUCUACCUUGUUUGAUUCAAUAACAGAUCCAAAGGAAGUGCAAGGCAGCCAAAUGGCCAGAACACAGCAUCUUAAAGGGAAAAGAAAUCAGUGUGAGAACAUUAUAUAAUAGAACAAAGUAUUCCUUCUUCAUUCAGGUUUGGGUUUUUUUUUUUUCUGAAGGGUGGAUAACUGCCAGACUGACCAUAUUGCAUUAGAAGUGUCGCUGUUUGCAGUAAAUGUGAAAUGUAGGCAGUUUCAAUAGUCAAGAUUAGCCCAUCAGUCACUCCAAACUCAUCCUCUGUGAACUCAAAGAGACGUACAUCAAUCUGCAAACCUUUUUCUCCUGUACUGAAUUGUCCUAGCAUUCCCUCUGUGAAUUCCUACAAAAGUGCUCCUUUUCAGAGCUUCAUAGCCACAUCACAGCAAUUUCCCCUCACAUCAAGCUGAAUCAUUUCAUAUUGUCCAGUUUAACCAGUCCCAUCCACCUAGCAUAAGAUGUGACUGCUGGCUUAACUUUUUUUUUUUACCCCUAAAUUACCUGCUUGUAAUGUUCACAUGUAGAACUGAAAAAGUUUUCUAAAGUACAAAGUCUUGAACUUUAUCCAAGAUGAGGGAAAAGCAUUCUAUGUCAGACACUAUUUUGUAGUACCCAAUACCAUGCACUAGUCUCUGCUCCAAGAAACAGACAAGAAAAAUGUGUCUUGUCCACAUAAGGAAAAACUACAACAGUAUUAUACAUAUAUUUUGUACCUCAAUGGAUUAUAAAAUAAUUACAAGUUAUAAAAAAUAAACAGAAAGUACAAUGU